rnacentral:hammerhead_ribozyme from 1 species
AUCCAUCUGACGAGUCCCAAAAAGGAUUAGGCGCGCUUCCUGGAU